GACGAACGCUGGCGGCGUGCCUAAUACAUGCAAGUUGAGCGCUGAAGGUUGGUACUUGUACCAACUGGAUGAGCAGCGAACGGGUGAGUAACGCGUGGGGAAUCUGCCUUUGAGCGGGGGACAACAUUUGGAAACGAAUGCUAAUACCGCAUAAAAACUUUAAACACAAGUUUUAAGUUUGAAAGAUGCAAUUGCAUCACUCAAAGAUGAUCCCGCGUUGUAUUAGCUAGUUGGUGAGGUAAAGGCUCACCAAGGCGAUGAUACAUAGCCGACCUGAGAGGGUGAUCGGCCACAUUGGGACUGAGACACGGCCCAAACUCCUACGGGAGGCAGCAGUAGGGGAUCUUCGGCGAUGCACGCAAGUCUGACCGAGCAACGCCGCGUGAGUGAAGGAGGUUUUCGGAUCGUAAAACUCUGUUGGUAGAGAAGAACGUUGGUGAGAGUGGAAAGCUCAUCAAGUGACGGUAACUACCCAGAAAGGGACGGCUAACUACGUG
rnacentral:rRNA from 1 species